rnacentral:rRNA from 1 species
GUAAGGAAUAUUGGGCAAUGGGGGAAACCCUGACCCAGCAACGCCGCGUGAAGGAAGAAGGUUUUCGGAUCGUAAACUUCUAUCCUUGGUGAAGAUAAUGACGGUAGCCAAGAAGGAAGCCCCGGCUAACUACGUGCCAGCAGCCGCGGUAAUACGUAGGGGGCAAGCGUUGUCCGGAAUGAUUGGGCGUAAAGGGCGCGUAGGCGGCCUGGUAAGUCUGGAGUGAAAGUCCUGCUGUUAAGGUGGGAAUUGCUUUGGAUACUGUCGGGCUUGAGUGCAGGAGAGGUAAGCGGAAUUCCCGGUGUAGCGGUGAAAUGCGUAGAGAUCGGGAGGAACACCAGUGGCGAAGGCGGCUUACUGGACUGUAACUGACGCUGAGGCGCGAAAGUGUGGGGAGCAAACAGGAUUAGAUACCCUGGUAGUCC